UACGUAGGGACCGAGCGUUGUCCGGAAUCAUUGGGCGUAAAGAGCGUGUAGGCGGCCUGUUAAGUCUUGCGUGAAAUCUCGGGGCUCAACCCCGAGCGGUCGUGAGAAACUGGCAGGCUAGAGUGCGGGAGAGGAGAGUGGAAUUCCUGGUGUAGCGGUGAAAUGCGCAGAUAUCAGGAAGAACACCCCGUGGCGAAAGGCGGCUCUCUGGAACGCAACUGACGCUGAGACGCGAAACUGGGGAGCAAACAGG
rnacentral:rRNA from 1 species